rnacentral:tRNA from 2 species
GGGCCCGUAGCUCAGCUUGGAUAGAGCGGCAGCCUUCUAAGCUGUAGGUCGGCGGUUCGAGUCCGCCCGGGCCCG